rnacentral:lncRNA from 1 species
GGAGAACAGAGGGAGCUAGACACUCCCACUUAUGCAUUGGAGCAAAAUAAUGAGAUAAUCUAUGAUUAUGGAUUAUUUUUCUGAUGAAGGAAUGACCAAAAUUCAUUCCUUACCAAGAUGUCACUUUGGGGGCCUUAUCUUAAAAGUGCUUUUUUGCCAGUUUCAAUGCUCUUAAGGCAGGGAAAUAAAGAGGCCUAUUUAUAGUGGGCCGGGCCAAGGCAAGCUCAUCUCAAAGCUGAGUAUUUAUGACUGUUAGUGUCUCAGAGACAACCUGUGAAUGGCCUGGCGUCUCUCCAACGGUGUGGUGUGGACUUGGCACCACCUCGCACGGCACUGGAGCUGGGUGCUGCCUUCCAGCUGGGCGUGUGAAGGGUCCGUGCAAAGCCUCUGCCUCCCCUCCCCCAGUUCUCA